rnacentral:rRNA from 1 species
UCGAGGAUCUUCGGCAAUGGGCGCAAGCCUGACCGAGCGACGCCGCGUGCGCGAUGAAGGCCUUCGGGUUGUAAAGCGCUGUCGAGGGGGAGGAAAGCCCGCAAGGGCCUGACCGACCCCUGGAGGAAGCACGGGCUAAGUUCGUGCCAGCAGCCGCGGUAAGACGAACCGUGCGAACGUUGUUCGGAAUCACUGGGCUUAAAGGGCGCGUAGGCGGGCACGCAAGUCAGGGGUGAAAUCCUCCGGCUCAACCGGAGAACAGCUUUUGAUACUGCGUGCCUCGAGGGGGGUAGGGGCAUGUGGAACUUCCGGUGGAGCGGUGAAAUGCGUAGAUAUCGGAAGGAACGCCGGUGGCGAAAGCGACGUGCUGGACCCCUUCUGACGCUGAGGCGCGAAAGCCAGGGGAGCAAACGGGAUUAGAUACCCCCGUAGUCC